GACGAACGCUGGCGGCGUGCUUAACACAUGCAAGUCGAACGGAAAGGCCCUGCUUUUGUUGGGUGCUCGAGUGGCGAACGGGUGUGUAACACGUGAGUAUCCUGCCCUUGACUUUGGGAUAACUUCAGGAAACUGGGGCUAAUACAGGAUAGGAGCUCCUGCUGCAUGGUGGUGGUUGGAAAGUUUCGGCGGUUGGGGAUGGACUCGCGGCUUAUCAGCUUGUUGGUGGGGUAGUGGCUUACCAAGGCUUUGACGGGUAGCCGGCCUGAGAGGGUGACCGGCCACAUUGGGACUGAGAGACGGCCCAGAGUGCUACGGGAGGCAGCAGUGGGGAAUAUUGCACAAUGGGCGGAAGCCUGAUGCAGCAACGCCGCGUGCGGGAUGACGGCCUUCGGGUUGUAAACCGCUUUCGCCUGUGACGAAGCGUGAGUGACGGUAAUGGGUAAAGAAGCACCGGCUAACUACGUG
rnacentral:rRNA from 1 species